rnacentral:rRNA from 1 species
AAAUUGAUUUUAUGCUUGCAUAAAUGAUUUUUGGAUUCGGAGCGAGUGGCGAACUGGUGAGUAACACGUGGGUAACCUGCCCCGAAGCGGGGGAUAACAUUUGGAAACAAGUGCUAAUACCGCAUAAUUAGUUGGAACCGCAUGGUUCCAACUUGAAAGAUGGCUCUGCUAUCACUUUGGGAUGGACCCGCGCCGUAUUAGUUAGUUGGUGAGAUAAAAGCCCACCAAGACGAUGAUACGUAGCCGACCUGAGAGGGUAAUCGGCCACAUUGGGACUGAGACACGGCCCAGACUCCUACGGGAGGCAGCAGUAGGGAAUCUUCCACAAUGGACGAAAGUCUGAUGGAGCAACGCCGCGUGAGUGAUGAAGGUUUUCGGAUCGUAAAACUCUGUUGUUAAAGAAGAACAAGUGUUAGAGUAACUGUUAACACUUUGACGGUAUUUAACCAGAAAGCCACGGCUAACUACGUGCCAGCAGCCGCGGUAAUACGUAGGUGGCAAGCGUUGUCCGGAUUUAUUGGGCGUAAAGCGAGCGCAGGCGGUUUUGUAAGUCUGCUGUGAAAGCCCUCAGCUCAACUGAGGAAGUGCAGUGGAAACUACAAAACUUGAGUACAGAAGAGGAAAGUGGAACUCCAUGUGUAGCGGUGAAAUGCGUAGAUAUAUGGAAGAACACCAGUGGCGAAGGCGGCUUUCUGGUCUGUUACUGACGCUGAGGCUCGAAAGCAUGGGUAGCGAACAGGAUUAGAUACCCUGGUAGUCCAUGCCGUAAACGAUGAAUACUAGGUGUUGGAGGGUUUCCGCCCUUCAGUGCCGCAGCUAACGCAUUAAGUAUUCCGCCUGGGGAGUACGACCGCAAGGUUGAAACUCAAAGGAUUGACGGGGGCCCGCACAAGUGGUGGAGCAUGUGGUUUAAUUCGAUGCUACGCGAAGAACCUUACCAGCUCUUGACAUCUUCUGCCAACCCAAGAGAUUGGGCGUUCCCUUCGGGGACAGAAUGACAGGUGGUGCAUGGUUGUCGUCAGCUCGUGUCGUGAGAUGUUGGGUUAAGUCCCGCAACGAGCGCAACCCUUAUUAUUAGUUGCCAGCAUUUAGUUGGGCACUCUAGUGAGACUGCCGGUGAUAAACCGGAGGAAGGUGGGGACGACGUCAAAUCAUCAUGCCCCUUAUGAGCUGGGCUACACACGUGCUACAAUGGAUGGUACAACGAGUCGCGAAACCGCGAGGUCAAGCUAAUCUCUUAAAGCCAUUCUCAGUUCGGAUUGCAGGCUGCAACUCGCCUGCAUGAAGUUGGAAUCACUAGUAAUCGUGGAUCAGCAUGCCACGGUGAAUACGUUCCCGGGCCUUGUACACACCGCCCGUCACACCAUGAGAGUUUGUAACACCCAAAGAC